GUUAAGCGACUAAGCGUACACGGUGGAUGCCCUGGCAGUCAGAGGCGAUGAAGGACGUGCUAAUCUGCGAAAAGCGCCGGCGAGGUGAUAUGAACCCUUGACCCGGCGAUGUCCGAAUGGGGAAACCCAGUGCAAUCCGUUGCACUAUCGUUAACUGAAUACAUAGGUUAACGAGGCGAACCGGGGGAACUGAAACAUCUAAGUACCCCGAGGAAAAGAAAUCAACCGAGAUUCCCCCAGUAGCGGCGAGCGAACGGGGAGCAGCCCGGAGUCUGAAUCAGCUUGUGUGUUAGUGGAACGGUCUGGAAAGUCCGACGGUACAGGGUGAUAGUCCCGUACACGAAAGCACACUUGCUGUGAACUCGAAGAGUAGGGCGGGACACGUGGUAUCCUGUCUGAAUAUGGGGGGACCAUCCUCCAAGGCUAAAUACUCCUGACUGACCGAUAGUGAACCAGUACCGUGAGGGAAAGGCGAAAAGAACCCCGGCGAGGGGAGUGAAAAAGAACCUGAAACCGUGUACGU
rnacentral:rRNA from 1 species